GACCAGCAGCUCCUUGCCUCCGCCGCCGGCGAGCGCUCUCUGGCGGAGGAGGGCGGGGGCGAGCUCGCCGUCUCCCUCGCGCUCGACGCCAGCGGGGACGCGGGCUACGAUGCGACCGCCUACAUGGGCGCGCUCCAGGCGCGGCGCUUCGGGAGGUGGAUGCGUUGGUCGCCGCGGAUGGCAUCCACGCACGACCUCGUGACACAGAACUUCGCCAAACUUCGGGUGGGCGUCGUGUGCGCCACAUACAUGCAGUUCAAAGGCAGAGAGUCGGCAGCGACUUGAUUUAUAUUUUCCGCUACUUGUCAAUAUGAUGGCCCGUUGUAAAUAAAUGAGGCCUGGCC